GGGUUGUGAGGUUAAGCGACUAAGCGUACACGGUGGAUGCCCUGGCAGUCAGAGGCGAUGAAGGACGUGCUAAUCUGCGAUAAGCGUCGGUAAGGUGAUAUGAACCGUUAUAACCGGCGAUUUCCGAAUGGGGAAACCCAGUGUGUUUCGACACACUAUCAUUAACUGAAUCCAUAGGUUAAUGAGGCGAACCGGGGGAACUGAAACAUCUAAGUACCCCGAGGAAAAGAAAUCAACCGAGAUUCCCCCAGUAGCGGCGAGCGAACGGGGAGGAGCCCAGAGCCUGAAUCAGUGUGUGUGUUAGUGGAAGCGUCUGGAAAGGCGCGCGAUACAGGGUGACAGCCCCGUACACAAAAAUGCACAUGCUGUGAGCUCGAUGAGUAGGGCGGGACACGUGGUAUCCUGUCUGAAUAUGGGGGGACCAUCCUCCAAGGCUAAAUACUCCUGACUGACCGAUAGUGAACCAGUACCGUGAGGGAAAGGCGAAAAGAACCCCGGCGAGGGGAGUGAAAAAGAACCUGAAACCGUGUACGUACAAGCAGUGGGAGCACGCUUAGGGCGUGUGACUGCGUACCUUUGUAUAAUGGGUCAGCGACUUAUAUUCUGUAGCAAGGUUAACCGAAUAGGGGAGCCGAAGGGAAACCGAGUCUUAACUGGGCGUUAAGUUGCAGGGUAUAGACCCGAAACCCGGUGAUCUAGCCAUGGGCAGGUUGAAGGUUGGGUAACACUAACUGGAGGACCGAACCGACUAAUGUUGAAAAAUUAGCGGAUGACUUGUGGCUGGGGGUGAAAGGCCAAUCAAACCGGGAGAUAGCUGGUUCUCCCCGAAAGCUAUUUAGGUAGCGCCUCGUGAAUUCAUCUCCGGGGGUAGAGCACUGUUUCGGCAAGGGGGUCAUCCCGACUUACCAACCCGAUGCAAACUGCGAAUACCGGAGAAUGUUAUCACGGGAGACACACGGCGGGUGCUAACGUCCGUCGUGAAGAGGGAAACAACCCAGACCGCCAGCUAAGGUCCCAAAAGUCAUGGUUAAGUGGGAAACGAUGUGGGAAGGCCCAGACAGCGCGGGAUGUUGGCUUAGAAGCAGCCAUCAUUUAAAGAAAGCGUAAUAGCUCACUGGUCGAGUCGGCCUGCGCGGAAGAUGUAACGGGGCUAAACCAUGCACCGAAGCUGCGGCAGCGACGCUUAUGCGUUGUUGGGUAGGGGAGCGUUCUGUAAGCCUGUGAAGGUGUGCUGUGAGGCAUGCUGGAGGUAUCAGAAGUGCGAAUGCUGACAUAAGUAACGAUAAAGCGGGUGAAAAGCCCGCUCGCCGGAAGACCAAGGGUUCCUGUCCAACGUUAAUCGGGGCAGGGUGAGUCGACCCCUAAGGCGAGGCCGAAAGGCGUAGUCGAUGGGAAACAGGUUAAUAUUCCUGUACUUGGUGUUACUGCGAAGGGGGGACGGAGAAGGCUAUGUUGGCCGGGCGACGGUUGUCCCGGUUUAAGCGUGUAGGCUGGUUUUCCAGGCAAAUCCGGAAAAUCAAGGCUGAGGCGUGAUGACGAGGCACUACGGUGCUGAAGCAACAAAUGCCCUGCUUCCAGGAAAAGCCUCUAAGCAUCAGGUAACAUCAAAUCGUACCCCAAACCGACACAGGUGGUCAGGUAGAGAAUACCAAGGCGCUUGAGAGAACUCGGGUGAAGGAACUAGGCAAAAUGGUGCCGUAACUUCGGGAGAAGGCACGCUGAUAUGUAGGUGAAGUCCCUCGCGGAUGGAGCUGAAAUCAGUCGAAGAUACCAGCUGGCUGCAACUGUUUAUUAAAAACACAGCACUGUGCAAACACGAAAGUGGACGUAUACGGUGUGACGCCUGCCCGGUGCCGGAAGGUUAAUUGAUGGGGUUAGCCGCAAGGCGAAGCUCUUGAUCGAAGCCCCGGUAAACGGCGGCCGUAACUAUAACGGUCCUAAGGUAGCGAAAUUCCUUGUCGGGUAAGUUCCGACCUGCACGAAUGGCGUAAUGAUGGCCAGGCUGUCUCCACCCGAGACUCAGUGAAAUUGAACUCGCUGUGAAGAUGCAGUGUACCCGCGGCAAGACGGAAAAGACCCCGUGAACCUUUACUAUAGCUUGACACUGAACAUUGAGCCUUGAUGUGUAGGAUAGGUGGGAGGCUUUGAAGUGUGGACGCCAGUCUGCAUGGAGCCGACCUUGAAAUACCACCCUUUAAUGUUUGAUGUUCUAACGUUGACCCGUAAUCCGGGUUGCGGACAGUGUCUGGUGGGUAGUUUGACUGGGGCGGUCUCCUCCUAAAGAGUAACGGAGGAGCACGAAGGUUGGCUAAUCCCUGGUCGGACAUCAGGAGGUUAGUGCAAUGGCAUAAGCCAGCUUGACUGCGAGCGUGACGGCGCGAGCAGGUGCGAAAGCAGGUCAUAGUGAUCCGGUGGUUCUGAAUGGAAGGGCCAUCGCUCAACGGAUAAAAGGUACUCCGGGGAUAACAGGCUGAUACCGCCCAAGAGUUCAUAUCGACGGCGGUGUUUGGCACCUCGAUGUCGGCUCAUCACAUCCUGGGGCUGAAGUAGGUCCCAAGGGUAUGGCUGUUCGCCAUUUAAAGUGGUACGCGAGCUGGGUUUAGAACGUCGUGAGACAGUUCGGUCCCUAUCUGCCGUGGGCGCUGGAGAACUGAGGGGGGCUGCUCCUAGUACGAGAGGACCGGAGUGGACGCAUCACUGGUGUUCGGGUUGUCAUGCCAAUGGCACUGCCCGGUAGCUAAAUGCGGAAGAGAUAAGUGCUGAAAGCAUCUAAGCACGAAACUUGCCCCGAGAUGAGUUCUCCCUGACUCCUUGAGAGUCCUGAAGGAACGUUGAAGACGACGACGUUGAUAGGCCGGGUGUGUAAGCGCAGCGAUGCGUUGAGCUAACCGGUACUAAUGAACCGUGAGGCUUAACCUUACAACGCCGAAGCUGUU
rnacentral:rRNA from 1 species